rnacentral:rRNA from 1 species
ACGAACGCUGGCGGCAGGCCUAACACAUGCAAGUCGAGCGCGCCUUCGGGUGAGCGGCGGACGGGUUAGUAACGCGUGGGAACGUACCCUUCUCUACGGAAUAGCCUUUGGAAACGAAGAGUAAUACCGUAUACGCCCUUUGGGGGAAAGAUUUAUCGGAGAAGGAUCGGCCCGCGUUAGAUUAGAUAGUUGGUGGGGUAACGGCCUACCAAGUCUACGAUCUAUAGCUGGUUUUAGAGGAUGAUCAGCAACACUGGGACUGAGACACGGCCCAGACUCCUACGGGAGGCAGCAGUGGGGAAUCUUAGACAAUGGGCGCAAGCCUGAUCUAGCCAUGCCGCGUGAGUGAUGAAGGCCUUAGGGUCGUAAAGCUCUUUCGCCUGUGAUGAUAAUGACAGUAGCAGGUAAAGAAACCCCGGCUAACUCCGUGCCAGCAGCCGCGGUAAUACGGAGGGGGUUAGCGUUGUUCGGAAUUACUGGGCGUAAAGCGCACGUAGGCGGAUUGGAAAGUUGGGGGUGAAAUCCCGGGGCUCAACCCCGGAACUGCCUCCAAAACUAUCAGUCUAGAGUUCGAGAGAGGUGAGUGGAAUUCCAAGUGUAGAGGUGAAAUUCGUAGAUAUUUGGAGGAAUACCAGUGGCGAAGGCGGCUCACUGGCUCGAUCCUGA